UACGUAGGUGGCAAGCGUUGUCCGGAUUUACUGGGCGUAAAGAGCGCGCAGGCGGUCGUUCAAGUCGAGUGUGAAAGCCCCGGGCUCAACCCGGGAAGUGCGUUGGAAACUGCGAGACUAGAGUCUCGGAGAGGAAGGUGGAAUUCCAGGUGUAGCGGUGAAAUGCGUAGAUAUCUGGAAGAACACCGGUGGCGAAGGCGGCCUUCUGGACGAUGACUGACGCUGAGACGCGAAAGCGUGGGGAGCAAACAGG
rnacentral:rRNA from 1 species